UGACUAGGACUGCUUCAUGACUCCUGAUGGC
rnacentral:piRNA from 1 species